rnacentral:misc_RNA from 1 species
GGAAGUGAAAGUCGUAACAAGGUUUCCGUAGGUGAACCUGCGGAAGGAUCAUUAAUGAGUUGUCAUGGGGUUCGAUGCUGGCAGCCAAUUUUUGGAUGCAUGUGCUUGCCCUAACAAUCAUCUUCCAAACACCUGUGCACAUUUUUGAGGGAGUCUUGAGUUGGUUGCCGCUCUUGGGUGAUUUUCUCACAUUCCCUUAAAUCAUUAUACGCUAUUAACAAUGUUGAACGUGCUCUGUGCCGCAAGGCUAUUAAUAUAAUACAACUUCUAACAACGGAUCUCUUGGCUCUC